GGGGAAUAUUGGGCAAUGGGCGCAAGCCUGACCCAGCAACGCCGCGUGAAGGAAGAAGGCUUUCGGGUUGUAAACUUCUUUUGUCAGGGACGAGUAGAAGACGGUACCUGACGAAUAAGCCACGGCUAACUACGUGCCAGCAGCCGCGGUAAUACGUAGGUGGCAAGCGUUGUCCGGAUUUACUGGGUGUAAAGGGCGUGUAGCCGGGAGGGCAAGUCAGAUGUGAAAUCCACGGGCUUAACUCGUGAACUGCAUUUGAAACUGUUCUUCUUGAGUAUCGGAGAGGCAAUCGGAAUUCCUAGUGUAGCGGUGAAAUGCGUAGAUAUUAGGAGGAACACCAGUGGCGAAGGCGGAUUGCUGGACGACAACUGACGGUGAGGCGCGAAAGCGUGGGGAGCAAAC
rnacentral:rRNA from 1 species